CUCCUGAGGGUGCUGCUCGGAGCUAGCAGGAGCCUGGGCUGCCUCUGCAAGCUUCUGUUGGGCCAUGAUGCGUACGUAGCACUCUUGCUGCAUCCCGUGGUCAAAGCCAGUGUCUGUGGGGUGGGGAACGACUCCUCCAGGAAGGUUCUGCAAGUCUCAGGGCAACAGCGAGAGAGGCGUGAAAUUCUCAUAGGGUAGAGGGAGUGAGCGGUUCUCCAACAUAAGCCAGAUGCUAAUGAGACAUCUGAGGGAUUUUCAAGAAUCCCGUCACUGGUAUAGUUCCAGGUUAGAGCUGGCCAACGCACGAGAUUUGGAGAACGGAAAAGAGAGGCCGUUGCAGGCAGGUGACAAUGGCAAGCUUUGCAACAGUUCGGGGCAAUCUUCUUCAAAGCCCUUGCUUCUGAGCCACAGGCUGAGGCAUCGAUGGGGGCUCCCAGGAACACCAUGAGCUCCCUGGCAGCUCCCAGGCAAGCUCGAGAGAGCCGCCCACCUCGGAGCUGUGGGGCCCCUAGUCCCCUAACUGCAUUAGCUCCAGGAUGGAUGGGUGACAGCGAUGGAUGGAUGGACGGGCGGCUGGAUGGACAGAGUGGCAGGGAAGUAGCUCAUUCAGUCAUGGGACAUUUCAAGGUGGGAAGAAGGUGUUCAUCACACGGCUGUGAUCACGUGCCCAUAUGCAGACCACUCUGUCCUGGGUGCAUGAGGAGUUCAUCUCUUAAAUCCAUGGUUCUCAACAAGGACAGUCCUCCCUCCCCAUGGGACAUUUGGCAAUGACUGGAGGAGUUGCUACUGGCAUCUCCUGGAUGGAGGCCAGGCAGGGCUGUUGGUAAACAUCCCAGUCUAGUGCACAGGACAGCCUCCACCACAAAGAAUCAUCCAGCCCCAAAUGUCAGCAGCACCAAGGUUGAGAACUCUGUCCUAAACCCUGAAAUUUUCAUUUGAUAAGUGCAAUUAUAAUGCAAUGUCUUUUUGAUGCACCAAAGGCAUUAAUGUCUUCAAUGUGAAUAUUUAAAACACACAGGUGACCUGUUUGGUGAUUUAUUUCUUAAUAAAGCAGGAGUCUUAAAACAUGGGAGUGGUUCCAUGAAAGGCAACAGCAUGCACUGGGCUCAGUGGCUCAGUGGCAAGACAGCAAGCAUCUGUAUUCGACUGCACCUGGAACGAAGGGGAUGAUGGGAAUAGAGCCCAGAGAGGGGCAGGGGCUGCACCAGGCAGAACUCAGAUGCCAGGCGACAGAGCGUGAAUUGUAUCCUGGAGGGAGA
rnacentral:lncRNA from 1 species